ensembl:lncRNA
AUAAUAUUUAUUAUUUUUAUUAUUAUUAUUAUUCUUUGCAUGAAUUAGGAAGUUUUACACUGACUAUUUUCAUGAAAUUUUUGUGAUGCAAAAAAAACACAUUCUCUUAAUACAAUAAUGACAGUCAUGUUAUUUGGAUGCAGUAUUUUUAACAUUUAUUUAUUAAAAUCAGAGUAAAAGAAGUACAACAUAGUGAUGUUUUCUUACUGUAAAUGUACUUUUUUUUUUUCGGUUGUGGUAAAAUGUAUUUAAAUGGCAUUAAAAUAAUGUCACAAUAUGGAUACAAUCUUUGUUUGCUUUAUGUAGAAAAGGAUCUGGUUUUGAGGUGAAGCGUGAUCUGCAGUGACAGUAUUUGAUCUAUCUGUCGUUCUGUGUUCUCCAUUAACGCUGGUUCUUCUGAAGCUGCUCUGAAGCUUUAAGAGUCUCCCGGGGCUGCUGGGUAAAUCUGACCCCUGGUGUUGCUGGUAAAUCACCGAUCGGCUUCUUUCUGAAGCUCUGGAUGAGAAUCAGACCGCUUCAGAAAGACUCAGAGCAGCACGAGGCUCUGAUUAAACUUCCUGUUUGUGAAGAGAAGCCACUUCCUGGUGCAAUAUUUCUAGCUUCCUCUGGUUCUGCUGGACACUCGCUGUCAAAAUGUGACGAACUGGUUUAAAGUUAAUUGUUUAUUAUGUUGAUUGAUGUAUUUCGAGUGCCUUUUGUGAUUUAUAUUUUGAGGUUGCCGAUUGUAAAUCAUUUCAAGCUUGAUGGAGAUGAAACUGUGAGUCUGGACUUUCACAGAAGAGCUUCAGAUCGAACCGAAAUGGGUUUUUUUGUAUAUAAAUUGUGAAGCAGGUCUUAACAGCAGCACAUACGGUCUGUUUAUCUGAUUUAACCCUCGUGUUCUUUUCAUCUUUAUUUGCUCGAACGUUUUUAUUUGCAUUCAGAGAUGCCAGAAAUGCAGCAUCCUUCAGUCUUAAGAUGUUUUAAUUGAAACGAGACACUGGACAAACACACAUAUGUGCUGUAACGUCCUCUGUUAACAUACUGUGUGUCAGACAUCUGCAGCAUACAAUAAAGUGUCAAAUAUUUUCACAUAUUACUGAUUUGAUUGUGUCAGAGUGAAUUAAUUUUCUUAAAGGAAUAGUUAAGUAAAAAACGAAAAGAAAAUCUGCACCUCAGUUCAUCU